UGCAGCGACGCCGCGUGAGGGAUGAAGGCCUUCGGGUUGUAAACCUCUUUCAGCUGGGACGAAGCGCAAGUGACGGUACCUGCAGAAGAAGCACCGGCUAACUACGUGCCAGCAGCCGCGGUAAUACGUAGGGUGCGAGCGUUGUCCGGAAUUACUGGGCGUAAAGAGUUCGUAGGCGGUUUGUCGCGUCGUUUGUGAAAACCCGGGGCUCAACUUCGGGCUUGCAGGCGAUACGGGCAGACUUGAGUGUUUCAGGGGAGACUGGAAUUCCUGGUGUAGCGGUGAAAUGCGCAGAUAUCAGGAGGAACACCGGUGGCGAAGGCGGGUCUCUGGGAAACAACUGACGCUGAGGAACGAAAGCGUGGGUAGCAAACAGGAUUAG
rnacentral:rRNA from 1 species